rnacentral:rRNA from 1 species
UACGAAGGGGGCUAGCGUUGCUCGGAAUUACUGGGCGUAAAGGGAGCGUAGGCGGAUAGUUCAGUCAGAGGUGAAAGCCCAGGGCUCAACCUUGGAAUUGCCUUUGAUACUGGCUGUCUUGAGUAUGGGAGAGGUUAGCGGAACUCCGAGUGUAGAGGUGAAAUUCGUAGAUAUUCGGAAGAACACCAGUGGCGAAGGCGGCUAACUGGCCCAUUACUGAC